rnacentral:rRNA from 1 species
GGGCUCACACAAGCGGUGGAGGAUGUGGCUUAAUUCGAGGCUACGCGAAGAACCUUAUCCUAGAUUUGACAUGCUUGAGAAUUCCUUCGAAAGAAGGAAGUGCCCCUCGGGGAGCUUUUGCACAGGUGCUGCAUGGCUGUCGUCAGCUCGUGUCGUGAGAUGUCGGGUUAAGUCCCUUAACGAGCGAAACCCUUAUCUCUAGUUGCCAGCGGGUAAUGCCGGGGACUCUAGAGAGACUGCCGGUGUCAAACCGGAGGAAGGUGGGGAUGACGUCAAGUCCUCAUGGCCUUUAUGUCUAGGGCUGCACACGUCCUACAAUGGUACGGACAAACGGACGCGAAACCGCGAGGUGGAGCAAAUCCUAAAAACCGUGCCUCAGUUCGGAUUGCAGGCUGCAACUCGCCUGCAUGAAGCCGGAAUCGCUAGUAAUCGCAGGUC